rnacentral:lncRNA from 1 species
GGGUGAGUUUAGCAAGAUUGGAGUUGUCUCAACAAAUGCACAUGCUUACACGGUGCAUCAGAAACGUGUUUUGGCAGCAACCGUUUGCUGCUGCACUUCCACGCACGGCUUUGCCUCCUCUAGAAGCAUGAACACAUAUUCCACACCACUGCCACGUGUUGAAAUCUGUGUUUAUCUCGUUUUAAUCAGCACCAUUCAUAGGCUACACAUUUUGGCUUUAAAUUGCUUGUAUUAGCAUAUACCAUCACUUUUGAAUCUUGAUAAUGAAUUCUGCUGAAGCAUUUCCAGCUCUUCUCUUUUUGAAAGUCUCCUCCCUUGUGCUUCCAUCCUUUUCCCUC